AGGAUUCCCCUAGUAGCGGCGAGCGAAGCGGGAAGAGCUCAAAUUUAUAAUCUGGCACCUUCGGUGUCCGAGUUGUAAUCUCUAGAAAUGUUUUCCGCGUUGGACCGCACACAAGUCUGUUGGAAUACAGCGGCAUAGUGGUGAGACCCCCGUAUAUGGUGCGGACGCCCAGCGCUUUGUGAUACAUUUUCGAAGAGUCGAGUUGUUUGGGAAUGCAGCUCAAAUUGGGUGGUAAAUUCCAUCUAAAGCUAAAUAUUGGCGAGAGACCGAUAGCGAACAAGUACCGUGAGGGAAAGAUGAAAAGCACUUUGGAAAGAGAGUUAACAGUACGUGAAAUUGUUGGAAGGGAAACGCUUGAAGUCAGACUUGCUUGCCGAGCAAUCGGUUUGCAGGCCAGCAUCAGUUUUCCGGGAUGGAUAAUGGUAGAGAGAAGGUAGCAGUUUCGGCUGUGUUAUAGCUCUCUGCUGGAUACAUCUUGGGGGACUGAGGAACGCAGUGUGCCUUUGGCGGGGGUUUCGACCUCUUCACACUUAGGAUG
rnacentral:rRNA from 1 species